UCAUGACUCUGAGAUCAUGACCUGAGCUAAGAGUUGGACUCCACUGACUAAGCCAUUGAGGCACCUUUUAGAAUUGUGAGGAUUAAAUGAAUUAAUAGGCUCAGAACAACACCUGGCACAUAAUGACACAGGAGGAAAAGCACAAAAGUACACAGACAUAAAUGGAAUACAUGUGAUGUAUAUCCGACACGGACGCAGACACACACAUACUCUUUCAGAUUGUAUCUUGAGCUGAUUAUCCAUUCAACACAAUCUCCUAGAGCAUCUACAUCCACCAUGCAGUACAAUGAAUUAAUGGUCCUUCUAAAAUAGAAAAUUGAAUGAAGACUUAGUUAUUUCAUUUGCAAAAGCUAAUUGAAGCACAUAUUUAUGAAAUUAGACACGGAGACGUGAACCACUACCACCCACUCAACCACAACGAGAAUGAUUUUUUUACUUAUGAGACAGGAUAAAAGAAGAGAAAUUAAUAUGCAUGCGAGUAUUAUUGGAGUAACACGCCAUCAUCCCCUCCCGAUAGACCUAAUCCUCAGUGCAAGAAGGAAAUAAACCAAGAAAGAGUGAUCCAGGAAACAGGAAAUGCAACGGAGAAGCAACGGUAGUUCCCAAGAUGCUGGCAUGGGAGGCCCUAAGCCUACAGCUGGGAAGAGACCUAAAGAGCAAUCAUUGCCACCUAGAGCACAGCAGAGGGUUUCUGGAAGAGUUUCUUCAAUAAAACCCCAAACCAAAACAAAACAGAAGAGGAGAAAUGACACAUUUACCAACAGAUUUGACUGUGUAGAAAACAGUUACUGAGGGGUAUUUUAUAAAGCAGAGUUAGAGCGUGUAGGAAGACAUCAACUAUUUUUUUUUUUAACUCAAGUAAUUCUAAAAGAAAAAAAAUUUAAAUUUCAGGAAAAAACAGUUUAAAGAAAGUAAGUGCAAUCUGAGUACAAUACUUGGCUCAGGAGCUAACAAUAUGAAUAAAAACCCUGCAUGUGGCUUUAAUAAAAGGUAGAGAUCUGAUGAUAUUACAGGGCUGCGGUGGUGGGGAAGGACGUAAAAGUGAUAAAACCGAUAAAAUGUAGAAGUGUUAGAAACU